rnacentral:rRNA from 1 species
GCUCUUUUGUCAGGGAAGAAACACCGGCUCUAACACAGUCCGGGAAUGACGGUACCUGAAGAAUAAGCACCGGCUAACUACGUGCCAGCAGCCGCGGUAAUACGUAGGGUGCGAGCGUUAAUCGGAAUUACUGGGCGUAAAGCGUGCGCAGGCGGUUAUACAAGACAGGCGUGAAAUCCCCGGGCUUAACCUGGGAAUGGCGCCUGUGACUGUAUAGCUAGAGUGUGUCAGAGGGGGGUAGAAUUCCACGUGUAGCAAUGAAAUGCGUAGAUAUGUGGAGGAAUACCAAUGGCGAAGGCAGCCCCCUGGGAUAACACUGACGCUCAUGCACGAAAGCGUGGGGAGCAAACAGGAUUAGAUACCCUGGUAGUCCACGCCCUAAA